rnacentral:rRNA from 1 species
GAUGAACGCUGGCGGCGUGCCUAAUACAUGCAACUCGAGCGAACAGACGAGGAGCUUGCUCCUCUGACGUUAGCGGCGGACGGGUGAGUAACACGUGGAUAACCUACCUAUAAGACUGGGAUAACUUCGGGAAACCGGAGCUAAUACCGGAUAACAUGUUGAACCGCAUGGUUCAACAGUGAAAGACGGUCUUGCUGUCACUUAUAGAUGGAUCCGCGCCGCAUUAGCUAGUUGGUAAGGUAACGGCUUACCAAGGCAACGAUGCGUAGCCGACCUGAGAGGGUGAUCGGCCACACUGGAACUGAGACACGGUCCAGACUCCUACGGGAGGCAGCAGUAGGGAAUCUUCCGCAAUGGGCGAAAGCCUGACGGAGCAACGCCGCGUGAGUGAAGAAGGUCUUCGGAUCGUAAAACUCUGUUAUUAGGGAAGAACAAAUGUGUAAGUAACUAUGCACGUCUUGACGGUACCUAAUCAGAAAGCCACGGCUAACUACGUG